rnacentral:rRNA from 1 species
AGUGAACGCUGGCGGUAGGCCUAACACAUGCAAGUCGAACGGCAGCACAGUAAGAGCUUGCUCUUACGGGUGGCGAGUGGCGGACGGGUGAGGAAUACAUCGGAAUCUACUUUUUCGUGGGGGAUAACGUAGGGAAACUUACGCUAAUACCGCAUACGACCUACGGGUGAAAGCAGGGGAUCUUCGGACCUUGCGCGAUUGAAUGAGCCGAUGUCGGAUUAGCUAGUUGGCGGGGUAAAGGCCCACCAAGGCGACGAUCCGUAGCUGGUCUGAGAGGAUGAUCCGCCACACUGGAACUGAGACACGGUCCAGACUCCUACGGGAGGCAGCAGUGGGGAAUAUUGGGCAAUGGGCGCAAGCCUGAUCCAGCCAUACCGCGUGAGUGAAGAAGGCCUUCGGGUUGUAAAGCCCUUUUGUUGGGAAAGAAAAGCAGCAUGUUAAUACCCCGCUGUUCUGACGGUACCCAAAGAAUAAGCACCGGCUAACUUCGUG